GCAAGUGGUGCUAUUCGAUUGUAUCUGCGAGAAGUCAGAGACUCACAAGCCAAGGCUAGAGGUAUUCCUUACAAGAAGAAAAAGAAGAAGCGGAAUCCGAUGAAAGCUAGUGAUGAUCAUCAAAGCUCAAGCUUUCCCAUGCAGUAAUCUUGAUUCCUGUGGUCCCUAUAAAAAAAUCUUAUGGUAAUUAAUUUAAUUUACUUAAUUUCUCUAUGUAGACUUUACAUGCUUUCGAUCUACUAGUCAUCACUAUACAUGGAAAUCAAUCAACUCAUCUGAUUAGCAACUAAUCAAAUUAAACCACAUGGUAAUUUUUUUCAUUCAGUUUGAAGUUGUUGACAUUCACUUUCCCUGGAGCUAGAAAAAUUAUUAGGAGAUAACUAUUCCCCCUCCCCAGUUUCAUUUUAAACCCUAGUCCAAUUGCUUAGAAACCCUAAUCUGCAAAGUGGGUUUUGCAAGAAAGACAGAAAGUGUACAUGAUAUAUAACAGUAGCUCCUAGUUAACUAUUUGAUGCUACGAUUACAGUGUAAAGCCCCUCUCUCUCUCUCUCUUAUCUUCAAUUAUUUAGCAACCCACUUCCUUAUCUCCUUCUCAUGCAAGAUCACAAUCAGAGCUCUUUUGGGAUUCUGCACUAUCUUAUGCUCGCCAUGAAAGGUUAAAAAAAUGGGUAUUAAUAAGAAACCCACAAUUAUAUGUUAUAUAUAUAGAUAUUGAUAUCCUUGUCAGGAUCUUUGGAGAAAAUUAUGAUGAUUGAUGAAGAGCACAGAAGAAUCUAUAGCUAGGUAGGAACAGCCAAUGUAAUGCUUACUGUGUAUGCUUGUUUGAUGUUGCUAGUAACAUCAUGCUGUAUUGUUUAAGAUCUGCCCACAAAUUUAAAAAUGGUUUCUUCCUGCUUUGUCUCAUCGUCUUUGUAAUAUUUUUUGUCUCUCUUUUAUAACUUUUUUAAAAAUAAAAUUUCCCAUUAUAAAUAUAUGCCAUAAUAUUGUCCCUUUCUAUUGGCAAUGCUAUAUGCAAUUGGCCUUUUCACCUGAACAAGCUGUUUGUCUUUUGUCUGUUUACUGAGAAAUCAUGACAUUCUAUUAUGUACAAUGUUCAUAGCUAGGGAAAUGUGUAGAAAAUUCUCCCAAUUAUUAGUUUUCAAAUUCAUAAUAUUUAUUUCCUUCCACUCAGAUGCAAUCUAUAUUUCUUUAAUCUAAGUGCUUGCUUUUGCUCCAUCUUGUAUAUAUACCAUUAAUUUAUAUCUAUAAUUGCAGGCCCUCAAAAUUUUCAAAAAAGUGGUAGCAUUCACCAUUACCAUUUUGGAGUUCUAUCAACUCUUCCCUUUGGAUUGAGUAGCUAGUUCUUGGCCUUUGCUAAUGGCUGAAAGCACUCUAAUCUGUAGAUGAGGAAAACGCAUCAAGUCGGUCAAGAAAAAAAAACCAAGAGAUGAAAUGGGGUAAGUAAACUUUUUUUCCUAGCACCUUUGUCCAUUUCAUUUUAAUUACUAUCUUAUCAAACAUAAUCAAGUUUGCUCUAUCAUCAUCAUGUAAUAUAAUUAUCCGAAUAUGUGUAUUAUUGAUCUAUUGAUGCGAAAACUAUGUAUAUCUUAGUUUCAAUGUUAUCAAAUAAUUUUUUUUUGUCUCGAUGAUCAAUAUAUACAUUUUCUAACUCUCUGUCUACACAUUGUGAAAGCAUGAAUACUUUCUGCAACUUUUUUCAACUUCAAGAUCUUAGCAUAUCGGAUUCUUCAAUAUAUAUACACUUUCUGCAAUUUUUAGGCGAAAAAAACUAAGCCUAGGCAUUUGGGAUUGUCAUAGUAGAUUAAUUUGAUCAUUUGAUUUUUUUUUUUAUCAACUAAUUCUCUAUCUUUCAUCAUACUUUCUAAAUAUUUCCAAAAUGGUACACACAUCAAGCUGAUCAUAUACAGAAUAGGUGAAAACUGAAGAGCUAAAAUAUCUAUAAUUUUCAUCUAUUACCAUUUCUUAAUUUCUAGGAGAUAGUGAUCUUUUAGAGACAAAAUUCUGUAAACAUGUAAGAUGCUUAGUAAGUCUAGUGAAAAUGUUGUCUCCUUGUUGGAAAUUAAACAGUACAAUUGCUUAAUUAAUACAUUGUAUUAAAUCCCUAAAGAUUUCAAGUUUGAAAUCCUAAUCUUUAUUAAUUGUACGAGUUAUGAUAUCAAGCUUUUCUUAUUCUCUCUUGUCUUGUCUGAGCUUUGUUUAAUCACAUACAUUGUAGAUACCCUCCUUGAUUUCCGAGUGUUUUUGCUUCACCAGACAAUACAUGUGAAAAGCAAACACACAAAGCAAAGACAAAUAUAUAUAUAAUAACCCAAAUGGUCAUCAAAGCCUCUACAUAUUUAUGACUUGAAUUACAUGAUUUUCCAUUACUAGAUAGUAAUAAUUAAAUUAUAAAAUUCAUUGCAAAACUGUAGACAAAUUUUCAUUUAUUAAUGAUAUUGGUAAAUUUACUAUAAAUCAGUAGAUUUUUCAUAGCUUAAAACUUAUGUUUUAAACUAUACCCAUUGAUCUAUUACUAAUAGAUUUCAAAUCAGUAUUUGGAUUUUUAAAUCAGUUGAUGUUUUCACCAAUUGAUUUCCAAAAAUAAACUUAUUUUUCAAUCGAUUUUCUAGUGAAAAAUUCAUUGCUAGAAUACAUUAGUAAAUAGUUUACUAAUGAGAUUUGCUAUAAUGGAUCUCAUUACUGGCUGGUAAUUACAAUUACCAUUGUAUUUACUUAGAUUAUUAAUAGAAAAAUUCAUUGAUAAAUACUUAAUUUUUUUUGUAAUAUAAUAAUUAAGUAUUUAGCUUAUAUUAUUAGAUCUUUAAAUUUUAAUAAUAUCAUUAUGUUAAAAUUAUUUUUGACAAUCUAAAUACAUGCAUAUACAUUAGUUUUAGAAACUUCAAAAAUAGCUAAAAAUUUUACUAUUUAAGGAAAAUGUUUUUAAAUUCAUCUAUUGUGUCCUCAUACUAUAUAUUAUUAAAGAAUUAAAUUUAAUCUAAAUCCAAAAAAUCAAUUAAUUAUAUGGCAUACACAUGCAUGCAUGCAGGGAUGUGAUGUAUGUAUCUAACUGAAGUAUCAAAUUAAGGGGAUGAAUUUUUUUUCUUUAAAAUUCAAAUUAAAAAUAAAAAUUUCCAACAUUGCAAGUGUAAAGUUUGUAAAAAAGCCAAAUAAUAUCAAAAGCAUACAGCCAUGGUGGUAGCUCUAAUUCUCAUUCCUUUAUCUUUGGACCAAAGGAGAAUCAGAUAUAUAAUCAACUAGAAAAACAUUACUAGUUAGUUUGAAACUCAUUAAUUAAUCUCUUAAUUUUAAAAAAUAUAUUAAAAUAUCUCUAACAUUUUGAAAAAUCUACUAGUUAGUCCUUUCUAUUAGUUUUAGUAAUUAAGUAUUAUAAAAAAGUUUGUACUCACAGACUUAAUCUGGUGGUAAGUGUAUUUGAGUAAAUCUGAGAGAAGUCUCGAUUUCUAUUUUCUCAAUUUUUAAAUUUUUAUUUUUAAAAAAAAUGUAUUACAAAAAAAUCUAAAAUGCUCCUAAUAUAAAUGUAUUAAUUAAUAAAUUUUAUAAAAAUUUGAAAGACGAAUAAAUAAAAUUUUUUAAAUUAUAAAGAUUAAAUAGUAAAAUAUUUAACGGUAAAAUUAAUACAGAAAUUAAUAAAUAAAUUUUUUAAAAUAUCGAUUAUAUUUUAAUAUAUUUUUUAAAAUUGAGUGAUUAAUUAAUAAAUUUUUAAAUAUUAUAAAUAUUAAAUAAUAAGUUUUCUUAAUAAAAAUUUAGAGAUAAAAAGAAAACACUCAAUAAAAGUGAUCAUUAUCUUAUAAUCAUGGAAUCCAGUCACCAGACAAUAUACAAGGCAUAGAAAAAACAUAAAACUUUUUAUUUUCCCCUCAUGCUUUUUUUUUUAAAGAAAAAUUCUUAGGAAAGUUUGGGAUACACUGUCUCAUUUUGUUAAAACAUAAACGUAUAGAUUAGAUAUACACCUCAAAUUUCUGUUUGCUUAUUCCAUAAUUUUAUCAUGAAUAUUUUAAGGUUGGAUAAAUAGUCUAUAAUUUAUUUUAUCGAUUUUUUUUUAAUAAUUUAGUCUAUAAAUGUUAUACUUUUACUUGUUUUGUUAAAUUUUUUUCUUUUUAAGUACAAAAUACACCAACCUUAAUUUUUUAAUAAUUUUUUUAAUUUGAAAUUCACCUCUGCACGAGCUUAUAAUAAUCAUUAAAGGAAAAAAAAAUAGUAUAAGAUUAUAUUAAAAAUUCAAAUUUAACCUUAAAAAUUUGGUAAACAGUUUAAACGGUUAAAAGGGUUUUAAUAGGUUAUAAGGAAGUACAUAGACAAUGUAAAAUAAAAUUCUAAAACCAAUUUUUUUUUUUUUUUUUUUAACAUUCUUAACCAGUAGUUGCUCAUAUAUAGAUGCAUCAAAGAAUUAAACCAUAUUUUGAAUACUUGACAGAAAUAAAUUACUGUGAAAGUAAAAACAUGAUAAGUUUUUCUUUACAAAAUUUCUUUAAAAUAUAGUAAAGAUUGAUAGAAUAAAAUAAAAUUAUUUGGUUUGAUUUGAUAAUUAAUAUGAUAUAAACCCAGUAAAUGUUUUUAAUUAAUGUGAUAAUAAAACUUAGAGAUAGGAUGGGUCAAUUAUUGAGCUAAAAUCCUAAUUUAUUUAAAAAGGAAUAAAAAAAAAGAAAAGAAUUCAUUGCCACUUUGAAUUAGCCACUUGCAUUUCCGAAAAUUAUUUAAGUUUAUUUCCCAGACAAAUGGCAGACAGACAGACAGAGACUUCAAGCUUCUCUCAACUUCUGAUAAAAUUCUUACAUAAAUGAUAUUUCAUAUUUAAAUUUGAAUAUAUGUUCAUAGACCAAUAGAAAAAACCCUAGAGUAUAUAUAUAAUUGGCACACAAAGGAACCGAUUAAUUCAACUCCUAGUUAGCUGUGUGUACGUAGUAUUGCAUGCAUGUCAUCUACGCACGUGGAGAACUCAAAGGUAAAACCUCUUUUGGCCGCCGCCUUCGCAGUUUACUAAAGUUUACACUGGAGAGUGGGAGUGAGGAUGAAGAUGUCAUCUUUUUUCCUUUUUUUUUUUAAAAAAAAGCAAAUAAUUAAAAGAAUUUGAAUGACCAACAUGUCACUAUAUUUAUAUAAAUGCUAGAAAUAAAAAUUCAUGAUGAGAGUUCAUAUCCAAUAACCAUCGGAAAUGUGUUAAUUACGGUUGAUUAACAAGUAAUUAAACAUGCCCAUUUUCUAGAUUAAUUAAUUAAUUAAUUAAUAUAUCAUACAAAAACUACUUGAGAGACUAUAUUUCUUGUAAGUGGUCAUGCAUGCUCACCGCCACUAAUCCAAAUUACCAUUUCAUUUAAAAAAAUUUUUAGAUAAAUUUUUUAAUUUAGUAGUUUAUAAAUCUUAAAUGAUAAAUAUUGUGGAACGGAGAUGGAACAAGAAAAUUUUCCAUUAUGGUUGAGUUUGAAUCCUUUCAUCCUCUAAAUGGUAAUGAUUACUACCUUGGAAUUCCUAUAAAAUUUAUACAUGGAAGUAUGAACUUGGAAAAGGGAAAUGGCUGCGCAUGUUUAAAACAAACUACAAGUCUCUUCGUUGUUUAACCUGAAAAGUGCAUCUCCAUUCUCUGUAACAUGAAAUUCUUGCUUCAAAUUUCAAUAUCUGAAUCUCAAAUUCAAGCUAUGAUGUUGAACACACAAUCAUCCAUCAUUUAACACUUCUUUUUCCAUCCCCUUGCUUUAAUAUACAUAUAUUUUAUUUUAAACAUAGGAUUGCUUUCCAUCAAUUAUACUUUUCACUGUAUUUGCAGCUGUAAAGCCAGCUCAAAGAGGAGGGCCAAUUUUGAAAAUUAAGAGACAGUAAUCAGAAAUUAAGGACAUCUUUCCUAGAAUCUUGGUUGAUGAAAACCAUCUUUUCACACAAUAUGUUGUAUUAGUUAUGGCGCAUUCUCUUGACAAGAUCAGGAGCUCAAAUAUUUUGAAGUGUUGAACUGAAACCCAAUUAAAAUUCAGAACCAAUUAGAAAAUUCAUCAAAAAGGAAAUUUGAAAAGCAAGUGCUUACUUUAAAAGACCACCAGUAUCUCUGUCUCGUGUGCUUGAGUGACAAAGACUUCAUAGCAUGGGCAGUAUAUGGCCAAUUUUCGUCUAAUGGUGAUGCUGAUGGAGGCGCCGGCUUCAACAGGAGAAGAAUAAUGAAUGUGUCCUUUAGUCAACAAUACUUUUGAUCCGUGAGAGAGAGAGAGAGAGAGAGAGGGAAUAGUAGUGUGAUGUUCACCCUUUGUCAUGUUAAGGAAGCAAUGAUACCGAGCCAAACUGAUUGCAUAUGCAAGAAUAAAGUGUGAUUUAUUAGCUCAAAAGUUUUCAGAAUCUUACUCCUUUAAUGAAUAAUAACAAAUACAGGAUCCAAACUUCUAACAGAGAAGGUUUGAACUCAAAAUUGUGGAGCUUCCGGCCCAUCAUCUACAAAUAUCUUUUUGCCUUAAUUUGGUAAGCUGGAAAGUUAACAAACAACAAAAAGUAGAAAUUACUAUCAGAAAUGUUGAAGACUGGAUUAAAGAUGCUCAAGGAUAGGAGCAUAUCCAGAUUAAAAAUCCAACAAAGAAAAGAAAACUGCCUUUCUAAAAGAAAACCAAACUCCCCUACUAUCUAUCUGCCCUUUGCCAUGAGACCAAAUAAAAAUAAUGUUAAAAAUAAUACGAAAAAAAAAAAAAAGAGCAUCUCUCUAAUGGGAAAUGCAAGCAUUGUCUCAAAGCCUGAUACUUACGGCAUAGUGCAGGCAAUAUGUUAUUGAUGGUUCACAAAAUAAUGACUGAACUCGGUUUAAAGGAAUUGGGAAAAAAAAUGGGAAUUCUUUUUCCCCACUGUAGUCUAGCACUAUUAGAUAAAAUUCAGAAUUAGGCCACCUCUCCAACAAGCACAUAACAGGACCAGAGGGAAUAACACUAAAAAACGUAACCUUCUCAGUAGGUCCGAUUGUUCCCAAAUGACCCAAGCUACCACAAGAUCUCCAUGCAGCACAGACAUCUUCCCAUCUCUAUGCUGGACUUGUACAGGGCUACCCUAGCACCUGAUGAAUUAUGCUUCUUUGGAUGCUGGUUGAAGAAAUCAACACCAAAUAUCAUCCUAUAGCCUAGUAAUUUUAUUGAAGGAGAGAGUAAGUAGCUAGUUUUGGCUCAAGCACUACGCCAUGAAGAAAUGAUGGAUAGUUUGGGUUAUUAAAACCAUGGGUGCCUGACUUGUUCUUUCUCAUUCUCUAAUUCUUCUUCUGCUUAUCAUUAUCAUUAUCAUUAUUUGGAGCCUUGGUUACUACAGUGCCUCAUGUUAACAUUCAUAAUGCAAGAUAUACUUGUAAACUGCAACUAUACACAACCCUUC
rnacentral:lncRNA from 1 species